rnacentral:rRNA from 1 species
CUACACGACCGUACCGCAAACCGACACUGGUGCGCGAGAUGAGUAUUCUAAGGCGCUUGAGAGAACUCAGGAGAAGGAACUCGGCAAAUUGACACCGUAACUUCGGAAGAAGGUGUGCCUUUAGUAGGUGAACCUGUACAAGGGGAGCCCAAUGAGGUUGCAAAAAAUCGGUGGCUGCGACUGUUUAAUAAAAACACAGCACUCUGCAAACACGAAAGUGGACGUAUAGGGUGUGACGCCUGCCCGGUGCUGGAAGAUUAAAUGAUGGGGUGCAAGCUCUUGAUUGAAGUCCCAGUAAACGGCGGCCGUAACUAUAACGGUCCUAAGGUAGCGAAAUUCCUUGUCGGGUAAGUUCCGACCUGCACGAAUGGCGUAACGAUGGCCACACUGUCUCCUCCUGAGACUCAGCGAAGUUGAAAUGUUUGUGAUGAUGCAAUCUCCCCGCGGAAAGACGGAAAGACCCCAUGAACCUUUACUGUAGCUUUGUAUUGGACUUUGAACAGAUCUGUGUAGGAUAGGUGGGAGGCUUUGAAGUGUGGUCGCUAGAUCGCAUGGAGCCAACGUUGAAAUACCACCCUGGUGUGUUUGAGGUUCUAACCUAGGCCCGUAAUCCGGGUCGGGGACAGUGCAUGGUAGGCAGUUUGACUGGGGCGGUCUCCUCCCAAAGCGUAACGGAGGAGUUCGAAGGUACGCUAGGUACGGUCGGACAUCGUGCUAAUAGUGCAAUGGCAUAAGCGUGCUUAACUGCGAGACUGACAAGUCGAGCAGAUGCGAAAGCAGGACAUAGUGAUCCGGUGGUUCUGUAUGGAAGGGCCAUCGCUCAACGGAUAAAAGGUACUCUGGGGAUAACAGGCUGAUACCGCCCAAGAGUUCAUAUCGACGGCGGUGUUUGGCGCCUCGAUGUCGGCUCAUCUCAUCCUGGGGCUGUAGCCGGUCCCAAGGGUAUGGCUGUUCGCCAUUUAAAGAGGUACGUGAGCUGGGUUUAAAACGUCGUGAGACAGUUUGGUCCCUAUCUUCCGUGGGCGCUGCAGAUUUGAGGAAGCCUGCUCCUAGUACGAGAGGACCGGAGUGGACACACCUCUGGUGUAUCGGUUGUCACGCCAGUGGCAUUGCCGAGUAGCUAUGUGUGGAAGAGAUAACCGCUGAAAGCAUCUAAGCGGGAAACUCGUUUCAAGAUGAGAUCUGCCGGGGCCUUGAGCCCCCUAAAGAGUCGUUCAAGACCAGGACGUUGAUAGGUCGGGUGUGGAAGCGCAGUAAUGCGUUAAGCUAACCGAUACUAAUUGCUCGUGCGGCUUGACC